AUGCCUUUUGGUUAUUAAUUUCUUUCCAAAAGCAUCGAUCUCCUAGUUGACCUCUAUGAAUCCGCUAUUUACUCCCAGAUUUGCGGAAUGCAGGCUCAGAUUUACUGGUUCCUCCAUCGCUCUUCUCUUUCGCUUACCCAGAUUUUCCUUUCUCAGGGACGUGCGAGCAAUUCACUUAACUACCAUGAUUCAAGAAUGACUCAACGCGCCUUCGGACUGGUCCUUUGACAAGGUUCCUCGAGCCAAAUUUUGGCGACGGUGAUGGCAGCACCCUAACCGAAUUCUAGUCCUGUUCUUGCAAUAGCUCGCGUGACCUUAUUCUAGCCUCUUCAACGCACUCCACUGUUUUAUUGGAUUUCCUGUCUGAUUCGCAUCCUUCUCCUUGAUUGUGUCUUUUGUAGAAUUAGUUACAGUGGGAAUUAUCCAUGUCUCCUCCUACAGUAUCUGUAUCGUGGUUCCCCUGCACAAGUUCAGGACAUAAAUCCUUAUGAUUUCCAUGACUCAUCUAAA